CAUCUUACCUGGCAGUGCUGGAUGUUUUGUGGAAUUCUAACACUGUCUGGUAAUGAUGUU
rnacentral:pre_miRNA from 1 species